CUACUCUUGUGCAGAAUGAAUUCUCGUAACUAAACAGCACAAGUAGGUUUAGUUAACUUU
rfam:SARS coronavirus, complete genome